rnacentral:rRNA from 1 species
CCUACGGGAGGCUGCAGUGGGGAAUAUUGCACAAUGGUGGAAACCCUGAUGCAGCGACGCAGCGUGCGUGAUGAAGUCUUUCGGUAUGUUAAGCUCUAUCAGCAGGGAAGAAAAUGACGGUACCUGAUUAAGAAGCCCCGGCUAACUUCGUGCCAGCAGCCGCGGUACUACGUAGGGGGCAAGCGUUAUCCGGAUUUACUGGGUGUAAAGGGAGCGUAGACGGCAGCACAAGUCUGGAGUGAAAUGCCGGGGCUUAACCCCGGAACUGCUUUGGAAACUGUGCAGCUAGAGUGCAGGAGAGGUAAGUGGAAUUCGUAGUGUAGCGGUGAAAUGCGUAGAUAUUAGGAGGAACACCAGUGGCGAAGGCGGCUUACUGGACUGUAACUGACGUUGAGGCUCGAAAGCGUGGGGAGCAAACAGGAUUAGAUACCCCAGUAGUC